UCCGGGGCAGUAUCGCUGGGUUUCAAGACCCAACCAGUGAGUGUAUUUCUUGAGCUCCGGGUGCAGACGUGGGGACAAUUAAGGUAGUUAGUGUGUCUGAGCAUUCGGGGGAUGUGUCGAUAGAUAUUGGAAAACAAGUGGAAAAAAAAUGUCAUACGUUCUUGGAGAACUGAGCAAGACACGAGACAAGUUUUAAUUCCGGAAUGUGUGCGGAGCUCUCCGUGGAAGGCGAGGCCGUCACAGCUCACCACUUUGGUCACCGGAGAACUCACCAAGCCGCGAUAAUUUGAAGUCUAUAGUGAUGAAACCGAUGAUACCUAAGUUGAGGUGAUGGGGGUCGUUGCGCUAGGGUGGUUACCCAGCAAAAUUCUCAAAUACCAUAAUAGAAGAUGACGAAAUGACUAAAAUCAAUGCAUCAGGAACCCUCAUGUCACCUGGUACAAUUCAAUCCUAACCCUGGAGACAGUCACUGCAGGACCCAAGGAGUCCAAGGAAAUAAAUGAUACCAAGACCAGGACACUGUAGCAACAUCUGGCAAAAGAAUCGUGGAUACAAUUUUGAAACAGUGCAGGGUUUGGUGGCUACGACCGUGUCGGCUUCCUCUCAGGCCAGCGACACGGAGAGAAACAAGCAGCUAAAGCGGCCUCAUCUAAAAGUUAUUUCUUCCUUAAGUCUCCACGAUUCCAGAGAACAUAAGCCAAACACAGUGAAGCAUCCUGGUCUGCCCGGGGAGAGAGGCGUUUAUGUUAACACGGUUUGCGCGUUUACGGUGCGUUUACGUACCCACCAUUUCUCUUCUAAAGCCUGCACCUCACUGCGGGGGGCCGGCCGGGCCCCACCCCCAUGCCCGGUGCGGCAUCUUGGGCUCACCCACUCCAGGAGCCACCAGCAUCAGGGCACAGACCCCCGCUUUAUCGCAUCUGAGUUCCGAUGGCCUGCCAUUUCCUCCAUGGCUGCAUGGUCAGAGGAGUCUUGGGAGCUCUCCUUCAAUAAUUAAUUUUCAGUUUUAAAUAAUUCACUCGUCCUGGCCGGCGUAACUGCUGGACACCACAGGAUUCAUUACUUGGCUGAUUUUCUUUGCUUCCUUCCUGUUUGCGGGGAGGGAGGGCUAGGCACGGCUGGGCAGAAUGAGACUGAGCAGCCUCUAGGCGGGCUGUUACCCCAGUGAUACCCGAGCCCACGGUGGCAAAGGGACAGACAGGAUGACGACUCCACUCCGGCCGAAGGCACGGGCGGCUCUCUCAGCUCCGGCCCAUGCUUCUGUCCUCAGCAGCCCACGCAUCACUCCUGGGUGAUUUUUGAUAGAGGUGAGGGGACCAGGCCGACUAUAGAUAAAUAAAAUCAAAACGUGAUUCCAAAUCCCUUGUUUAGAACGAGGGUAAGUAAAGUAUGGCCUACGAGCCAAAUCCGGCCCGCGGACUGUUUCUGUAAAUAAAGUUUUAUUGGCACACAGCCACACCCACUCACGAACACGUUGUCUCCGGCCGCGUGCAGCUACCAUGGCAGAGUUCGGUAGCUGUGACAGAGACCGUAGAGCCAGCAAAUCCUUGCGUGUUCAUUCUCUGCCCCGCUACGGAGAACGCUGGCCGAUCUCUGGCUUAGAACGCUGUGUGUCUGUUGUCACCUUCAGCAGCUUCGCCAGGGCCAUCAGCGUGGUGGACCCCACAGCCAAGCUGGCCUUCUUCUCACUGCUUCUGCCCCCUCAGGGAGAGGAGGCGGUUGGACAAGCAGAGACGAGAGGCCACGUGCCUGGAGCAUCUCCCUCCGGCUCUGGCCUUCCACCCUUUGGGACUAGAACCUGCAUGACCAGAACCGAGCUCCUCGGACCGCGUUGGGUCUGUGCACACUCACGCCCAGCAGAACAGGAGGCGGGGAAUGUGAGCCUUCGACGGAGAAGUGGGUUCGAAUCCCCACCUGGCUCG